UUGGGCCAUAUUGCAAAAAUCUUUCAAAACUUGGAUGAGUUGAUAUAUUCAUUUAAAUUUAUAUCAAAGUUUUCAAAUUAUCGACAUUAUAUGUCGGUCUUUUCCAAAAUCUCACCCUUUAAGCAAGAUCAAGUCAACCAUAGAACACGUAAAGGGUAAAGAACAAAAUAGGAAAAAUCUCCCAACGUCGACACAUUCUUUAUUCAAAAUUUUCACUUUCCCUAACAUUCUCGAUUUAAGUACGCAAGCGAAAAAUUGCGUUUGCCAUAACUGAAUUAUUAUUGAAUAAUCCAUCAUUCUUUAGAAUUUUUAUCAUUAUGUAUUUUCUGAAAUUUAAAAAUAAUUCCCGAGUAGAAAUGAAUGAAUAGGAUUUUUCAAAAAAUUUCUCGAAAAACUCUUGUUUUUGUCUUGGAAAUUCAUACACUUUAUUUCUAGCACGUAGCCAGAAUCCUAACCACAUCCAUUCAUUCAAGGUCAUAGAACGACCUUUAACUUGCUUACUCAGUAUAAUAAACAUAUAAUCUCAUUUUAUUCAAUAUAAUUAAAUAAAAUUUAUUUACAUUAAAGUUUUAUUUUCUCGGUCGUUACAUUAUUCCACUCUUAUAAGGAUUAUGUCCUCAAAAUCUUGAUACAAGUUAAUCAAAUAGAUGGGGAUAAUUCUUCUUCAUUUUCUCUUCGAGUUCCCACGUUGCUUCUUCGGCAUGGUUCCUCCAUACUACCUUCACUGAAGGUAUUACUUUACUUCUCAAGACUUGUUCUUUCCUAUAAAUAAUUUGAAUCGAGAUUUCUUAAUAUGUUAAGUCUUCUCAACCUAAAUAGGUUCAUAUUCUAUUACGUACUUAUUAUAUGGCUUAUAAGGGCGUAAUAUAGAAACAUGUAACACAUUGUGUAUAUGUUCUAACUCCGGAUGUAAUGUUAUCACAUAAGAUACCUCUGCUACUCUCUUCAAUAUCUCAAAAGGUCCUAUAAACCUCGGACUUAACUUUCCCUUCUUUCUAAAACAUACCUUUUCUUUCCAUGGAAUUACCUUCAGAAAUGCAUACUAAUCGACUUCAAACUCUCUCUUCUUUCGAUGUGGAUCUACAUACUUUUUCUGUCUAUCUUGAGCUGCCACAAGUCAUGUUCUUAUCAACUUAACUACAUCUGCUAUUUGCUGCACCAUUUCAGGUCCUAACAUCCGACAUUCACCUACCUUAUCCCAAUACAGUGG
rnacentral:lncRNA from 1 species